rnacentral:rRNA from 1 species
GAUGAACGCUGGCGGCGUGCUUAACACAUGCAAGUCGAGCGAUGAAGUUUUCUUCGGGAAACGGAUUAGCGGCGGACGGGUGAGAAACACGUGGGUAACCUGCCUCAUAGAGUGGAAUAGCCUUCCGAAAGGAAGAUUAAUACCGCAUAACGUUGAAAGAUGGCAUCAUCAUUCAACCAAAGGAGCAAUCCGCUAUGAGAUGGACCCGCGGCGCAUUAGCUAGUUGGUGGGGUAACGGCCUACCAAGGCGACGAUGCGUAGCCGACCUGAGAGGGUGAUCGGCCACAGUGGGACUGAGACACGGCCCAGACUCCUACGGGAGGCAGCAGUGGGGAAUAUUGCACAAUGGGGGAAACCCUGAUGCAGCAACGCCGCGUGAGUGAUGAAGGUUUUCGGAUCGUAAAGCUCUGUCUUUGGGGAAGAUAAUGACGGUACUCAAGGAGGAAGCCACGGCUAACUACGUGCCAGCCGCCGCAGUAA